CCCGGGUGGUUAAACUUCGCAAAAUGCCUAGGUAUUAUCCUACUGAAGAUGUGCCUCGAAAGCUGUUGAGCCACGGCAAAAACCCUUCAGUCAGCACAUGAGAAAACUGUGAGCCAGCAUCACCCCUGGGACCAUUCUGAUCAUCCUCACCGGAUGCCACAGGGGCAAGAGGGUGGUUUCCCUGAAGCAGCUGGCUAGUGGCUUAUUACUUGUGACUGGACCUCUGGUCCUCAAUCAAGUUCCUCUGAGAAGAACGCACCAGAAAUUUGUCAUUGCCACCUCAACCAAAAUUGGUAUCAGCAAUGUAAAAAUCUCAAAACAUCUUACUGAUGCUUACUUCAAGAAGAAGCUGUGAAAGCCCAGACACCAGGAAGGUGAGAUCUUCCACACAGAAAAAGAGAAAUACGAGAUUACAGAGCAGCGCAAGAUUGAUCAGAAAGCUGUGGACUCACAAAUUUUACCAAAAAUCAAAGCUAUUCCUCAGCUCCAGGGCUACCUGCGAUCUGUGUUUGCCCUGACAAAUGGAAUUUAUCCUCACAAAUUGGUAUUUUAAAUGUCCUGAUAAUCUAAUUAAAUAACUGAUUACC